AACAAUGCAUAUUAAUUUUUUUUUUUUUACUUUUCACAUUAUAAUGUGCAAUUACAGUACAUUGAUGAUGUGCAUGACAAAUCAAGUAAAAACUGACAGUACAAUAAGAGUAGUGCAGAUCUUCUUCACAUGGAAUUUAUCCAUUAAUGGAUUUUUGGAAAUUAAAUAAUGACUGUCCUGAGAACUCAUGGUAAGUUUGUUUUAAAGGUUUGAUACACUUUUAGAUCUGUGUAAACUCAAGAUUAAUGCUGGAUUGAUUGUUAAAUUCCAGCUUAUUGUCACAAAGCAUUUGUUCUAUGAAUUUAUUGAGAUAACUGAAUGGUUAAAGUAGGUUAUUGUUGAACUGAAUAAAUAUAUAGAGAAAGUUUAACAAUGAAUGAGCGCCACCUAGUGGUUCCCUCAGAAGCUUCACUCGAGAAACAUUCAACCUUCAUCUGAUCUGAUGAGAACAUCUCUACCUUCAAGAAUCAGCUGAAAACACAUCACUUCCACAAGCACUUCAUUAAUCCAUAACCAGAAACCAAGGCACUUAUUAUAAUAAGCAUGCUAAAUGAUAAAUGUGACAAAUGAACAACACAAGUUGAAGUGUGCUGCUGAUUUGCGGCGAUGGGAAUUAUUUUGCAGAUACAUGAUCCUGUCGGGUCUUGUGAUGCUUUCCUGUUUGUAAGGAAACAAUGAUUCACAAAAGAUUACACACAGAGAGAGACAGAGAGAGAGAGAGAGCUUUCAGUGACUCAAGAAAAUCUGUCAAGUCUGAAAUGUUUACUUUCCAUCUAGAUGAUUUUGAUAUAAACUCCAUUUAUUCAGUAUAAAGACUAGCAGAUGAAUAAAAAUGUAUGUGCACCAUUUUUUAUUUAUUUAUUUAUUUUUUUAAUCAGAAGAGCAGAAAUGCGGUUAUAUUUUCUGAUAUAAUUUUGAUUUAUUAUUAAAUGACAUGAAUGAAGCCACAACACACACACACACACACACACACACACACACACACACACACACACACACACACACACACACACACACACACACACACACAUACAAACACACACCUGCAGUGAAAUCGAGCACAGCUGAGAAUCUCAUAAUACUAAUAGCUGCAUUAAUUUUACCUCAUCCUUUGACUUUUGACAGAUGCCCGAGCUUAUUUUUCACCUGGUCUCCUUUUAAAAAUAAUCACACACAAACAAUUAAACACUAACUUUGCAUAAUAAAGACAAUAUUUUCUUCUCAAUAUAAUAGCUGUUUGUAAUACUUACCCUUUGUAAAUCUCCUGCAUCAAAUCACAACAGCUGACAGAGCCACGGAAAACAGUGACGCGUAUUCCUGAAUACAGACCUGAAUUUGGUGCACAAGCAUCUUUAUAGUCCAUUCC
rnacentral:lncRNA from 12 species